rnacentral:misc_RNA from 1 species
UGGCUCUCGCAUCGAUGAAGAACGCAGCGAAAUGCGAUAAGUAAUGUGAAUUGCAGAAUUCAGUGAAUCAUCGAAUCUUUGAACGCACCUUGCACCCUUUGGUAUUCCGAAGGGUACGCCCGUUUGAGUGUCAUUGUAAUCUCACCCCGAGCGCUUUUUCUCGGAGUGGACUUGGAUGUUGCCGUGUCACGCGGCUCGUCUCGAACGUCUCAGUGUUACCCGCCCGUCGGCCCAAACAGUGUGAUAGGUAUCUUCACUGUGCCGGAAGGAGUGUGGGCGCUGCCAACCGUCUUCGGACAAUUUCUGACAAUUUGACCUCAAAUCGGGUGGGACUACCCGCUGA